rnacentral:rRNA from 1 species
UACGGGGGGGGCAAGCGUUGUUCGGAAUUACUGGGCGUAAAGGGCUCGUAGGCGGCCAACUAAGUCAGACGUGAAAUCCCUCGGCUUAACCGGGGAACUGCGUCUGAUACUGGAUGGCUUGAGUUUGGGAGAGGGAUGCGGAAUUCCAGGUGUAGCGGUGAAAUGCGUAGAUACCGGGAAGAACACCAGUGGCGAAGGCGGCUACCUGGACAGGUACUGACGCUGAAGCGCGAAAGCUAGGGGAGCAAACAGG